rnacentral:lncRNA from 1 species
CUAAUUUUGUGAUGCUCUUUCAAGCUGUGGUGAAAAUUUUGUCUAGACUUGUUGAGUUCAAAAUUUUGAUUAAUAUGGGAUUGGUCCAUUGCAUCGAUCCCUACCAACGAAAGCUUGUUGCAAGGUUGUUACAACAAGCUGGGAUCAGGUUGUGGUUGCACUACUUGUUGAGAAGUUGUUUUGUGCUUUUAACAAACUUGCUAUAUGAUUGUUCCAUCCUAACUUAUCGACAAGUUGUUCCACGACAGACUCGGUUCCAACUUGUUAUACAACCGCACAACAGACUUGUUACAAGUUUCGUGUAACAAGUCGAUCACACUGUUUGUUGCCAAGUUGUUGCAUCAGCCUACAACAGAUUUGAAAAGUCGAUACGAGGUCAUGCUCACAAUGCCUGUUACCAAAAUGCAGCCAGCAAACCAGUAUUCGCACUACUGGUUCCCAUGUAGAUGAGAACAUACGACAAGAUUAGGAAUCUAUUUGUCCAAAAUGUGUAAAUAGACCUUCAUCUCCCGAAGUAAAAUAAUGUAAAAAUUGCGUGAACGAUGAACAUUUAAUGUACAUUAGCAAAUAAAUAUUCUACAAACUGUAAUAUUUUGUACACAGAAGAAAAUGUAAAAAUUGUGAAUACAUUAAACAAGCCAUCUGUAAGAUGGUAAAUGCCCGUCUCUAAUCUGCUUGUAAAUCUGUUUCUAUAAAGUUGGAAUUUGCAAUUCGCGUAGCACCUUAGAAAACUUUACUAUAUACAAAGGAAUAUCAUAUAUCUAGUUUAAUUUGGUCAGGUUCGUCGAGACAAUCGCUUGUAUUCUAAGAAAAGCUCACUCGCACUCAAAGAGUGGAGGUUCAACCUGAGCUUCCCUUGAGUGUCAGUGCUGUUUUUGAAUAGCUGGAGGGUUAGUGUCGUUAACAGGGUUUUAGCCAGGAUUUCGAAAGUGGCCGUCCAAAAUAAUUUUGUGGGCGUGGCCACAUGUUUUUGGGCGUGGCCGCAAUUUUUUGUUGUUGUGGAAUUGUGGUGUUCUAUUCGUUGAACCUUCUUACUUUUGGUUUUAGAUGCACAUUUCCGUCAUGAAAUUAGUAAAAGCACACGUAUGGUAUGCACGUUAGUUAUUUUUAUCAAUCACCGAUAUUUUCCCCCUUUUUUAUGCGUUUGGCUCAUUUUGUAGCCAUCUUUACCGUAAGUAUGUGGCGCUCGAGCGAUACUUCAAUUCAGCCAUAUGUGUCGAUACUUCAAUUCAGGACGGCCGCCUGGCUAACACCCUACUGUCGUACCUUACCAUGUGACUACUCACUCUCCAGCUAUUCAAAAACAGCACUGACACUGAAGGGUAGCUCAGAUUGAACCUCCACUCUUUGAGUGUGAGCAAGCUUUUAGAAUACAGGCGAAUGACCGCUUCUACCAUAAACCGGGCCGACGAGAGCUUCACAUGUGGUCAGUCGAGUCAUUGAUAUGUCGGAUGUGGAAAUUGACGACGUAUUCUGCGUUCGUUCUCUGGACAGAGAUGCCAAAUGGUGCAAAAGGAUGGAAUGUGAAUGCCACCAAACGUCGAGCUGAUGGUGGCGAUGGUCGACCCAGGAAU